rnacentral:rRNA from 1 species
UACAGAGGUCUCAAGCGUUGUUCGGAUUCAUUGGGCGUAAAGGGUGCGUAGGUGGCGAGGUAAGUUGGAUGUGAAAUCCCGGGGCUCAACCCCGGAACUGCAUUCAAUACUGCCUUGCUGGAGUACUGGAGAGGAGAUUGGAAUUUACGGUGUAGCAGUGAAAUGCGUAGAUAUCGUAAGGAAGACCAGUGGCGAAGGCGGAUCUCUGGGCAAUAACUGACGCUGAGGAGCGAAAGCGUGGGGAGCGAACAGGAUUAGAACCUACGUGUCAG